rnacentral:rRNA from 1 species
AUGGAGGUGGUCACGGGUGCCAUGGGCAGCCUGCUCCCCAAGCUGGGCGAGCUGCUCAUGGAUGAAUACAACCUGCACAAGCGCGUCAAAAAAGAUGUUGAGUUCCUCCGGAAGGAGCUCGCGAGCAUGCACGCUGCGCUUAUCAAGGUUGGUGAGGUGCCAAGGGACCAGCUCGACAGGCAAGUCAAGCAUUGGGCCGACGAGGUCAGAGAGCUCUCCUACAACAUGGAGGAUGUCAUUGACAAGUUCCUCGUACGCGUCGAAGGUAUUCAGCAGCCUCACGACAACACCGGCAGAUUCAAGGAGCUCAAGAGCAAAAUGUUAGGCUUGUUCAAGAAAGGCAAGAAUCACCACCGGAUAGCUGACGCCAUACAGGAAAUCAAGGAGCAACUCCAGGAGGUGGCUGCUAGGCGUGAAAGGAACAAGCUGGAUGGUAUUGCUCCUAAUCCUGGCGAAGCAGUUGUCAUCGAUCCUCGUCUCCGUGCUCUGUACAUAGAAGUGACAGAGCUCGUCGGCAUCUAUGGGAAGAGGGAUCAGGACCUCAUGAGGCGUCUCUCCUUGGAGACCAACGAUGAUGCCUCUAACAAGAGACUGAAAAAGGUCUCUAUCGUUGGAUUUGGAGGGUUGGGCAAGACCACUCUUGCCAGAGCAGUAUACCAAAAGAUCAAAGGUGAUUUUGAUUGUGGGGCAUUUGUCUCCGUCGGUCGGAACCCUGACAUCAAGAAGGUUUUCAGGGAUAUCCUGAUAGAUCUCGGCAACUCUCACUCAGAUGUUGUGAUACUGGAUGCAAAUCAGCUUAUUAAAAAGCUUCAUGAAUUCCUUGAGAACAAGAGGUACCUCAUCAUAAUUGAUGAUAUAUGGGAUGAAAAAUUGUGGAGCUACAUCAACCUUGCUUUCUCUAAUAGUAACAAUCUAGGCAGUCGGCUAAUCACCACAACCCGCAAUCUCGAUGUCUCCAAAUCAUGUUGCUCAUCGGCUGAUGAUUCAAUUUAUCAUAUGAAACCUCUUUCUAAAGAUGACUCCAGACGGCUCUUCUAUAAAAGAGUAUUUGCCGACGAGAAUGGAUGUCCAAAUGAAUUUGAACAAGUGUCUAAAGAUAUUUUGAUGAAAUGUGGUGGGGUACCACUAGCCAUCAUUACAAUAGCUAGUGCUUUGGCUAGAGGUCAGGAGGUGAAACCAAAGAGUGAAUGGGAUAUUCUGCUCCAAUCCCUUGGCUCUGGACUAACAGAAGAUAACAGUUUAGAGGAGAUGCGGAGAAUACUAUCUUUUAGCUAUUAUGAUCUACCUUAUCAUCUGAGAACUUGUCUAUUGUACCUAUGUAUAUAUCCAGAAGAUAGCGAGAUUGAUAGAGAUAGACUGAUAUGGAAGUGGGUGGCCGAAGGAUUUGUCCACCAUGGAGAUCAAGGGACUAGCCUGUUUUUGCUCGGAUUAAACUACUUCAACCAGCUCAUUAAUAGAAGUAUGAUCCAGCCAAUAUAUGAUGAUCUAGGUCAGGUACAUGCUUGCCGUGUACAUGAUAUGGUUCUUGAUCUUAUCUGCAACUUGUCACAUGAAGCAAAGUUUGUUAAUGUAUUGGAUGGUACUGGGGAUAGCAUGUCUUUUCAAGGCAAUAAUGUUCGUCGUUUGUCCUUUCAAGAUAGAAAUAAAGAUCAUGAAGGCACACCUCUCAGAAAUUUCACGGGUAUAUCACGAGUGAGGUCCAUUACUAUCUUUACAUCUGCUAUUAAUAUCAUGCCAUUCCUAUCAAGGUUUGAAGUUCUGCGUGUACUUGAUUUGUCGGGCUAUAAUCUGGGAAAAGGUAGCAGCCUGCAAUUUAACCUCAAGGGUGUUGGACACUUAAUUCACCUGAGGUACCUUGGUUUAGCAGAUACUGGAAUAAGAAAACUCUCGGCUGAGAUAGGAAACCUGCAAUUUUUGGAGGUUUUGGAUCUUGGAAGCAAUUAUGAGCUACAUGAAUUGCCGCCCACUCUUUUUAAAUUGAGAAGAUUAAUCUACCUAAAUGUUUAUCUCUAUAAGGUGGUUCCAACUCCUGGUGUGUUGCAGAAUCUGACAUCCAUAGAAGUGCUGAGGGGGGUCUUGGUCUCUCUGAAUAUUAUUGCACAAGAGCUUGGCAAACUGGCAAGGCUGAGGGAGCUUCAGAUUUGCCUCAAGGAUUGUAGUUUCGAUCUGUAUGAAGGUUUCGUGAAGUCUCUGUGCAACCUACGUCACAUCGAAAUCCUACAUAUUGAAUGCAAUUCCGGAGAAAUUUAUUUUGAACUGACGGAUCUCUUGGAAGAACGCUGGCUGCCUCCUGUACAUCUCCGCAGAUUUGUGUUGUACAUGCCGAGCCAACUCUCUGCACUGCGAGGGUGGAUAAAGAGAGACCCCAUGCAUCUCUCGAACCUCUCCGAGUUAUUCCUCAAUUCAGUGAAGGAAGUGCAGCAGGAUGACGUGGAUAUCAUUGGGGGCUUGCUGUCCCUUCGCCGUCUCUCCAUAUGGACCACCCACCAAACACAGCGGCUGCUAGUCAUCCGUGCAGAUGGGUUCCGCUGUAUUGUAGACUUUAACUUGAGUUGUGGAUCAGCAACGCAAAUCAUGUUUGAACCAGGGGCUUUGCCUAGGGUGGAAUCAGUUGGGUUCAGUCUUGGGGUGCGGGUGGCGAAAGAGGAUGGUAACUGUGGCUUCGACAUGGGCUUGCAGGGGAACCUGCUCUCCCUUCGGCGGCGUGUCGAUGUUAAUCUGUAUUGUGGCGGAGCGAGGGUUGGGGAGGCCAGGGCAGCGCAGUCUGCGGUGAGGCACGCGUUCGACACCCAUCCCAACCAUCUGGAGAUUGUAAUGUUUACGAAUCCGCAUAUAGCAGAAGGAGCUAAUGAUGAAGAUUUGUGUGAGGACGAGAUGGAUGAUAAAAGUUUGUAUCAGUGCCUGGUGGACCUGGUGGAGAACUGA